UACGAAGGGGGCUAGCGUUGCUCGGAAUCACUGGGCGUAAAGCGCGCGCAGGCGGCUUCUUAAGUCCAUCGGUGAAAUGCCGGGGCUCAACCCCGUUGCAGGCCGAGGAUACUGGGAGGCUGGAGACGAGUAGAGGCAAGCGGAAUUCCGGGUGUAGCGGUGGAAUGCGUAGAGAUCCGGAAGAACACCGGAGGCGAAGGCGGCUUGCUGGGCUUGGUCUGACGCUGAGGCACGAAAGCGUGGGGAGCAAACAGG
rnacentral:rRNA from 1 species